GGCCCUGUUUGGGGGAGCUGUUGGCAGUAGAGCUGUUAGAAGUAGAGCUGUCUGAAGUAGAGCUAUCUGAAGUAGAGCUGUUAUAAAAAGUUGUUUGCUGUUUGGUAAUUACAUUCGUAAAGUGCUGUGGUACUUUGUUUUGUGUUUGGUAAACAAACUGAGAAAGUACUUUUGCAUGACAAAAUUACUAUAAAAGACAUUGCAUGGUAUUAUACAACAGAACAUAAUAAAAC
rnacentral:lncRNA from 1 species